rnacentral:rRNA from 1 species
AGAGUUUGAUCCUGGCUCAGGACGAACGCUGGCGGCGUGCCUAACACAUGCAAGUCGAACGGACAGAACUAAGCGAAGUUUUCGAAUGGAGCGAAGAGAAGUUAGUGGCGAACGGGUGAGUAACACGUGGAUAACCAACCAUAUAGACCGGGACAACCGUUGGAAACGACAGCUAAUACCGGAUAAGCUCCUAAGGCGGCAUCGCCUAGGGAGAAAAGUAGGCCUCUCGGAGAAGCCCGCGCUAAAUGACGGAUCCGCGCCUGAUUAGCUAGAUGGUGAGGUAAAGGCUCACCAUGGCAACGAUCAGUAGCCGGCCUGAGAGGGUGAACGGCCACAAUGGGACUGAGACACGGCCCAUACUCCUACGGGAGGCAGCAGUGGGGAAUAUUGCGCAAUGGGGGGAACCCUGACGCAGCAACGCCGCGUGAAUGAAGAAGGCCUUCGGGUUGUAAAAUUCUGUCAAGAGGGAAGAAGGCUCUUUGCUUAAUAUGUAAAGAGAUGACAGUACCGAUAGAGGAAGCUCCGGCUAACUACGUGCCAGCAGCCGCGGUAAUA